rnacentral:rRNA from 1 species
UACGAACUGUGCAAACGUUAUUCGGAUUCACUGGGCUUAAAGGGUGCGUAGGCGGCUUGCCAAGUAGGGUGUGAAAGCCCCCGGCUUAACCGGGGAAUUGCGCCCUAAACUGGCGAGCUGGAGUGAGAUAGGGGUGUGUGGAACUUCCGGUGGAGCGGUGAAAUGUGUUGAUAUCGGAAGGAACGCCGGUGGCGAAAGCGACACACUGGGUCUCAACUGACGCUGAGGCGCGAAAGCCAGGGGAGCGAACGGG